rnacentral:rRNA from 1 species
UCAAGGUAUGAAGGGCGUACGGUGGAUGCCUUGGCACUAGGAGCCGAUGAAGGACGCGACGAACAGCGAUAUGCUUCGGGGAGCAGUAAGUAUGCUUUGAUCCGAAGAUUUCCGAAUGGGGGAACCCACCAUCUGUAAUGGGAUGGGACAUGUUACAUGAAUACAUAGUGUAGCGUGAGGCAGACCCGGGGAACUGAAACAUCUAAGUACCCGGAGGAAGAGAAAGCAAAUGCGAUUCCCUGAGUAGCGGCGAGCGAAACGGGAACAGCCCAAACCGAAGAGCAUGCUCUUCGGGGUUGUAGGACACUCUAUACGGAGUCAAAAAGGAAGACAGUAGGUGAAGGACCUGGAAAGGUCGGCCGAAGAAGGUGACAGCCCUGUAGCUGAAACUGUUUUCCCUCCAGAGUGGAUCCUGAGUACGGCGGGACACGUGAAACCCCGUCGGAAUCCGGGAGGACCAUCUCCCAAGGCUAAAUACUCCCUAGUGACCGAUAGUGAACCAGUACCGUGAGGGAAAGGUGAAAAGCACCCCGGAAGGGGAGUGAAAUAGAUCCUGAAACCGUAUGCCUACAAGUAGUCAGAGCCCGUUAACGGGUGAUGGCGUGCCUUUUGUAGAAUGAACCGGCGAGUUACGAUAACGCGCGAGGUUAAGCCGAUGAGGCGGAGCCGUAGCGAAAGCGAGUCUGAACAGGGCGUUCAGUGCGUUGUCGUAGACCCGAAACCAGGUGAUCUACCCAUGUCCAGGAUGAAGGUCAGGUAACACUGACUGGAGGUCCGAACCCACGCACGUUGAAAAGUGCGGGGAUGAGGUGUGGGUAGCGGUGAAAUGCCAAUCGAACCUGGAGAUAGCUGGUUCUCCCCGAAAUAGCUUUAGGGCUAGCCUCGAGGUUGAGAGUUCUGGAGGUAGAGCACUGAUUGGACUAGGGGCCCCCACAGGGUUACCGAAUUCAGUUAAACUCCGAAUGCCAGCAACUUAUACUCGGGAGUCAGACUGCGAGUGAUAAGAUCCGUAGUCAAGAGGGAAACAGCCCAGACCGCCAGCUAAGGUCCCAAAGUGUAUGUUAAGUGGAAAAGGAUGUGGCGCUGCCUAGACAGCUAGGAUGUUGGCUUAGAAGCAGCCACCAUUCAAAGAGUGCGUAAUAGCUCACUAGUCGAGUGGCGCCGCGCCGAAAAUGUAACGGGGCUAAACAUACCACCGAAGCUGCGGAUUCCGUAAGGAAUGGUAGGGGAGCGUUCCAAACCGCUGUGAAGCUGUACCGGAAGGAGCAGUGGAGCGUUUGGAAGUGAGAAUGCCGGUGUGAGUAGCGAAAAGAGGGGUGAGAAUCCCCUCCGUCGAAAGCCCAAGGUUUCCUGAGGAAGGCUCGUCCGCUCAGGGUUAGUCUGGACCUAAGCCGAGGCCGAAAGGCGUAGGCGAUGGAUAACAGGUUGAUAUUCCUGUACCGCCGAUCCACCGUUUGAACAAUGGGGGGACGCAGGAGGAUAGUGACGCAUGCGGAUGGAAGUGCAUGUGCAAGUUUCAAGACCGUCUGAUUGGCAAAUCCGUCAGGCACCAAAGUCAAGGAACGAUGCGGAGUCCCGUAGGGACGUAGGUCACGAUUUCACACUGCCAAGAAAAGCCUCUAGUGAGGGGGAAGGCGCCAGUACCGUAAACCGACACAGGUAGGCGAGAUGAGAAUUCUAAGACGCGCGGGAUAACUCUCGUUAAGGAACUCGGCAAAAUGGUCCCGUAACUUCGGGAGAAGGGACGCUCUACAUGAGUAGAGCCGCAGUGAAUAGGCCCAAACGACUGUUUAGCAAAAACACAGGUCUCUGCUAAAUCGCAAGAUGACGUAUAGGGGCUGACGCCUGCCCGGUGCUGGAAGGUUAAGGGGAUGGGUUAGCGCAAGCGAAGCUUUGAACCGAAGCCCCAGUAAACGGCGGCCGUAACUAUAACGGUCCUAAGGUAGCGAAAUUCCUUGUCGGGUAAGUUCCGACCCGCACGAAAGGCGUAACGAUUUGGGCACUGUCUCAACGAGAGACCCGGUGAAAUCAUAGUACCUGUGAAGAUGCAGGUUACCCGCGACAGGACGGAAAGACCCCAUGGAGCUUUACUACAGCCUGAUAUUGAGGCUUUGUGCAUGAUGUACAGGAUAGGCGGGAGACGUCGAGCCCGGAGCGCCAGCUUCGGAGGAGUCACCCUUGGGAUACCGCCCUUCAUGCAUAGAGUCUCUAACUCGCAGCCGUCAUCCGGCUGGAGGACCGUGUCAGGCGGGUAGUUUGACUGGGGCGGUCGCCUCCUAAACAGUAACGGAGGCGCCCAAAGGUUCCCUCAGAAUGGUUGGAAAUCAUUCGUAGAGCGCAAAGGCAGAAGGGAGCUUGACUGCGAGACCUACAAGUCGAGCAGGGACGAAAGUCGGGCUUAGUGAUCCGGUGGUUCCGCAUGGAAGGGCCAUCGCUCAACGGAUAAAAGCUACCCUGGGGAUAACAGGCUGAUCUCCCCCAAGAGUCCACAUCGACGGGGAGGUUUGGCACCUCGAUGUCGGCUCAUCGCAUCCUGGGGCUGGAGUAGGUCCCAAGGGUUGGGCUGUUCGCCCAUUAAAGCGGUACGCGAGCUGGGUUCAGAACGUCGUGAGACAGUUCGGUCCCUAUCCGUCGUGGGCGCAGGAAAUUUGAGGAGAGCUGUCCUUAGUACGAGAGGACCGGGAUGGACGCACCGCUGGUGUACCAGUUGUUCCGCCAGGAGCAUCGCUGGGUAGCUACGUGCGGACGGGAUAAAUGCUGAAAGCAUCUAAGCAUGAAGCCCCCUCCAAGAUGAGAUUUCCCUUUGAGUAAUCAAGAAAGACCCCUCAGAGACGAUGAGGUAGAUAGGUCACGGGUGGAAGCAUGGCGACAUGUGGAGCUGAGUGAUACUAAUCGGUCGAGGCCUUGUUCUA